rnacentral:rRNA from 1 species
CCCUUAGAUGUUCUGGGCCGCACGCGUGCUACACUGAGUGGAUCAGCGGGUCAGGUUGCGCGAAAGCGUUUCCUAAUCUUUAAAUCCGCUCGUGAUGGGGAUUGACGGUUGCAAUUUUCUGUCAUGAACGAGGAGUACCUUGUAAGCGCGGGUCAUCAUCCCGCGCUGAAUACGUCCCUGCCCUUUGUACACACCGCCCGUCGCUCCUACCGAUUGAGUGGUCCGGUGAGGCUUUGGGAUCUGAGCGGAAAGAGCGUUUCGCUGUUUCUGCCCGGAAAACUCAGUCGAACCUUAUCAUUUAGAGGAAGGAGAAGUCGUAACA